rnacentral:rRNA from 1 species
UACGUAGGGUGCAAGCGUUUGUCCGGAAUUAUUGGGCGUAAAGGGCUCGUAGGCGGUUUGUCGCGUCGGGAGUGAAAACCUUGGGCUUAACUCAGGGCUUGCUUUCGAUACGGGCAGACUAGAGGUAUGCAGGGGAGAACGGAAUUCCUGGUGUAGCGGUGAAAUGCGCAGAUAUCAGGAGGAACACCGGUGGCGAAGGCGGUUCUCUGGGCAUUACCUGACGCUGAGGAGCGAAGGCGUGGGGAGCGAACGGG